GGGGGUGACAUGGCUUCGACCAUUAACCGUAGGAGCAUAUGGCAUGUCGAAGAUGACGGUUGGCUUCGUUAAAAUCCGUUAAAAUCAUAAAUGACAAAAACAUUAUGAAACUGAACUUCAGAAAUGAAGUUGCACUCGCUGCUUAGCAUUAAUGCAGUGACAUUCGUCGCAGGAUGCUUGGUAAUGCGAACGGGUGUGAUUAACCAAGCAGGCGCCAUGGGGGUGUGCAGUGGGCAUGGCGUUCUACAAACGCUGCACUAAGCAAAUUUCAGCAUGCUGACUUGCGGAAAUUGCCGACAAUUAGAAAUCAGCUAAACAUGUAGAAGUAUUCCCUGAAAGCUAGUGGGACGCGGGUUCGAUCCCCGCCACCUCCACCA
rnacentral:tmRNA from 1 species